rnacentral:rRNA from 1 species
UACGGAGGAUGCAAGCGUUAUCCGGAAUUAUUGGGCGUAAAGCGUCCGCAGGUGGUUAUCCAAGUCUGCUGUUAAAGCGCGAGGCUUAACUUCGUACAGGCAGUGGAAACUGGGUGACUGGAGUAUGGUAGGGGUAGCGGGAAUUCCCAGUGUAGCGGUGAAAUGCGUAGAUAUUGGGAAGAACACCAGCGGCGGAAGCGCGCUACUGGGCCAUUACUGACACUCAUGGACGAAAGCUAGGGGAGCGAAAGGG